rnacentral:lncRNA from 1 species
GUGGUGGAGUUCUUGGAAGAAUCACUGGUAACAGCCACCACUACGACUUGUACAGACUUGGUAUGAGAAAAAAAUCAGUGAUCUUCAAGAAGAAGUAAAGGCGAAGAAAAAGAAAAUUGCGCGACUUAAUAUGAAAAAAAAAUUGAAAGAUCAAAUACUGAAGGAGGUUCAGCUGCAGCUUCAGAAUGACCUCGACGCGAUCCACCAGAAAUUGCAAACACAGAUUUCCCGCUUUCCAGAGGCAGUGCAAUCGCAAGGGUGGUCAGAGGAGGAGGGGGACUUUAGUUGACGUUGAAUGGAAUCGCUGUGAGAUUACUUAUUUUAUUGGUUUAAUUACGGAAAAUGAAUAAUCAUUAAUAAUCAUGAUUGUGAUUAUUAUAAUUAUUAUCAAUAUUGUGAUUAUCAUAAUUAUUAUA